UGCAACAUUUAUUGUAUGCCAACUACCGUAAAACCUCACCGAAGAAGAAGAAGAAGAAUGCAGCCAACAUUAUUUUUAAUUGACAACGCGUUUGGAGACACAGAUAGUUAAUUAGCACAGGUAGCACUCUGUCUACUGUCUGUUUUCAAUAAACAAGCGCUGUAGUAUGGAAAUAUAGCAGCGUGGAAACCCUAACCCUAUAAAAGUGUGUAUCAAUUUAACCUUUAGUUUAUCUUUUAUUAUUUCUUGCCGAUCCUUACGCUUCCAAAACCGUACCGCAAGCAAUGCGUGUUAAUGUUCAGACCGAACGUCGCGGCUCUUAACAAAAUACUCUCCUACAGUCUUUGUCAAAUGACUUUUAUGUGUAAUGGAAUGGAAUUGAGAGUCAUGAUCAAGGCUAGCCCUUCUCAUCACUCCAGUGCUGUAUGGCCUUGGGUUUUCGAGAGUUAUGUCACUACUAUCUGAAAGCUUUUCAUCAGAGUUUGAUUGUACUAUAGACUAUUUUCUUUUGCAUUUGUUUAUUUUUUUGUGUCUUGGCUCUCACACUGGCUGUGUGUGUGUGCAUCUCUGUCCUGUCUGCCUGCCUAGCUGUCUUGUCUGUCUGUCUGUUUAGGAGUUCCAGAUGUGGCUAUAAGAGAGUGGUGGCAGACAACAGUGGAGGGUAUCUUCACUGAGUAGUGAGCACAUGUAGGAGCUCAUUAUCAUGAAGUUAAUCUACAGGUAUACCAGCUGAUACAAGAAACUAUGAGAAGGGAGGAGUUCAGCUGACUAACGUCAUUGCUGUGUGCAGGAAACCCCAGCAGCUCCUUCAGCAGACAGCCCCUUCCUGUCUUCCAGAUGCUGCUGACAAAGCUGCCCUCCAUCAGCCAGGCGGUUCUGGCUGAUGACCUGUCUCCAUAGCUGAGAGAAGCCGAGGAGGAGUAUUACUUUGUUCCCAACAACACUAUUAAUAUUUCUAACUGUACUGAUGAGAAAGAGGAUGGCAGAUUUAUCCAUUGUUUCUGAACUGUGUUCAGUCAAGUUUACAUUGUCAAUUUGUUACUAGUCACAUGUUCAAUAAGGUAUUCUGCAAAUAGAAUUACAAUACAGAAAUGUUCUUGCUCUUUAGUGAAGUUCUGCCAAUCAUAUGUUGGAAACCAUUAUCAAGGAAAACGAGUUGAACACUUUGUGGAAAUUGUAAUCUGUUUCUUGAACACCAGUGAUUCUUCUAAGGAUGAUAAUAACUGUUACCUGUAGGACAAUGUCUCUAUCACAGGUCUCCAAGUGUACAGUAAGGGGUAUAUCCUUAAUAAAAUCAUUUUUGAUGGUUAAUUGUGCAGACUGAU